rnacentral:rRNA from 1 species
UACGGAGGGUGCGAGCGUUAUCCGGAAUUACUGGGUUUAAAGGGUGCGUAGGCGGCCAGGUAAGUCAGGAGUGAACGUUUGCGGCUCAACCGUAAAAUUGCUUUUGAUACUGCCAGGCUAGAAUUAGGAUGAGGUCAGCGGAAUGUGGCAUGUAGCGGUGAAAUGCAUAGAUAUGCCAUAGAACACCAAUUGCGAAGGCAGCUCACUACGGAUAUAUUGACACUGAGGCACGAAAGCGUGGGGAUCAAACAGG